rnacentral:rRNA from 1 species
GAUGAACGCUGGCGGCGUGCUUAACACAUGCAAGUCGAACGGAAAGGCCCAAGCUUGCUUGGGUACUCGAGUGGCGAACGGGUGAGUAACACGUGGGUGAUCUGCCCUGCACUUCGGGAUAAGCCUGGGAAACUGGGUCUCAUACCGGAUAGGACCACGUCUUGGAUGUUGUGGUGGAAAGUUUUUUCGGUGUGGGAUGAGCUCGCGGCCUAUCAGCUUGUUGGUGGGGUAAUGGCCUACCAAGGCGUCGACGGGUAGCCGGCCUGAGAGGGUGUACGGCCACAUUGGGACUGAGAUACGGCCCAGGCUCCUACGGGAGGCAGCAGUGGGGAAUAUUGCACAAUGGGCGCAAGCCUGAUGCAGCGACGCCGCGUGGGGGAUGACGGCCUUCGGGUUGUAAACUCCUUUCGCUAGGGACGAAGCGUUUUUGUGACGGUACCUGGAGAAGAAGCACCGGCUAACUACGUG